rnacentral:rRNA from 1 species
GAUGAACGCUGACAGCAUGCUUAACACAUCAGCAAUUGAUUGGUGGAAGACGGGUGAGUAACGCGUAAAGAACUUACCUCCCAGUUAGGGACCACAUUUGGAAACGAAUGCUAAUACCUAAUACUGUGAGAGAGCUUUGCGUCCCAUUAGCUAGUUGGAGAGGUAACGGCUCACCAAGGCGAUGAUGGGUAGCCGGACUGAGAGGGUGAUCGGCAACAAGGGGACUGAGACACCGCCCUUACUCCUACGGGAGGCAGCAGUGGGGAAUAUGGGACAAUGGACCAAAGUCUGAUCCAGCAAUUCUGUGUGCACGAUGAAGUUUUCGGAAUGUAAAGUGCUUUCAGUUGGGAAGCGGUACCAACAGAAGAAGUGACGGCUAAAUACGUGCCAGCAGCCGCGGUAAUAC